rnacentral:rRNA from 1 species
ACGGGGGGGGCAAGCGUUACUCGGAAUUAUUGGGCGUAAAGGGCGCGUAGGCGGCCGUGUGCGUCAGAGGUGAAAUCCCCGGGCUUAACCCGGGAACUGCCUCUGAUACGGCAUGGCUUGAGUCCGGGAGAGGGGAGCAGAAUUCCCAGUGUAGCGGUGAAAUGCGUAGAUAUUGGGAGGAAUACCAGUGGCGAAGGCGGCUCCCUGGACCGGUACUGACGCUGAGGCGCGAAAGCGUGGGUAGCAAACAGGAUUAGAUACCCUGGUAGUCCACGCCGUAAACGAUGGGUGCUUGGUGUCGGGGGUAUCGACCCCUCCGGUGCCGAAGCUAACGCAUUAAGCACCCCGCCUGGGGAGUACGGUCGCAAGGCUG